rnacentral:rRNA from 1 species
AGCCAGACUCCUACGGGAGGCAGCAGUGGGGGAUAUUGCACAAUGGGGGGAACCCUGAUGCAGCGACGCCGCGUGGGUGAAGAAGCGCCUCGGCGCGUAAAGCCCUGUCAGCAGGAAAGAAAAUGACGGUACCUGACUAAGAAGCCCCGGCUAACUACGUGCCAGCAGCCGCGGUAAUACGUAGGGGGCAAGCGUUAUCCGGAUUUACUGGGUGUAAAGGGAGCGUAGACGGCAGUGCAAGUCCGGAGUGAAAGCCCGGGGCUCAACCCUGGGACUGCUCUGGAAACUGUAAAGCUGGAGUGCGGGAGGGGCAGGCGGAAUUCCUGGUGUAGCGGUGAAAUGCGUAGAUAUCAGGAGGAACACCGGCGGCGAAGGCGGCCUGCUGGACCGUAACUGACGUUGAGGCUCGAAAGCGUGGGGAGCAAACAGGAUUAGAUACCCGAGUAC